rnacentral:misc_RNA from 1 species
GAAAUGCGAUAAGUAAUGUGAAUUGCAGAAUUCAGUGAAUCAUCGAAUCUUUGAACGCACAUUGCGCCCGCCAGUAUUCUGGCGGGCAUGCCUGUUCGAGCGUCAUUACAACCCUCAGGCCUCCGGGCCUGGCGUUGGGGAUCGGCGGAGCCCCCCCCGUGGGCACACGCCGUCCCCCAAAUACAGUGGCGGUCCCGCCGCAGCUUCCAUUGCGUAGUAGCUAACACCUCGCAACUGGAGAGCGGCGCGGCCACGCCGUAAAACACCCAACUUCUGAAUGUUGACCUCGAAUCAGGUAGGAAUACCCGCUGAACUUAAGC